GAUGAACGCUGGCGGCAGGCCUAACACAUGCAAGUCGAGCGGUAGCACAGAGAGCUUGCUCUCGGGUGACGAGUGGCGGACGGGUGAGUAACGUCUGGGAAACCGCCCGAUGGAGGGGGAUAACUACUGGAAACGGUAGCUAAUACCGCAUAACGUCGCAAGACCAAAGUGGGGGACCUUCGGGCCUCACACCAUCGGAUGUGCCCAGAUGGGAUUAGCUAGUAGGUGGGGUAAUGGCUCACCUAGGCGACGAUCCCUAGCUGGUCUGAGAGGAGGACCAGCCACACUGGAACUGAGACACGGUCCAGACUCCUACGGGAGGCAGCAGUGGGGAAUAUUGCACAAUGGGCGCAAGCCUGAUGCAGCCAUGCCGCGUGUAUGAAGAAGGCCUUCGGGUUGUAAAGUACUUUCAGCGGGGAGGAAGGCGGUGAAGUUAAUAACUUCACCGAUUGACGUUACCCGCAGAAGAAGCACCGGCUAACUCCGUGCCAGCCGCCGCGGUAA
rnacentral:rRNA from 1 species